UUAGAGGAAAGAGAACUGAUUCCUUGUCAAAUUAGAAUGAUAUCUUAGUUUUAUCAGAUGUAUCAUCUGUAAUCAACAUUUCAAAAGCUACUAUGGCCAGUUGUGCAGUCUGACAAUAGAGCGGUGGUAGCAGUAGGAACGCCCACAAGCGACAAAAAUCGAAACACGUUGGAGCAGAUGCAAAAAUGUCUGAUAGGAGAUGCUGCUUGUCGGUGGUUAUGUACUGGCCCUAGUCAAAAGAUCCCACCUCCAAGUCUCUAUGAUAUUGUGGUUCCUCUGGAAUAUUGCUGGUCUCUCCUUCAAGUCUAUGGAAUUUUUGAGUCAAAGUCAAAUCUCAAGUCCAGGUCAAGUUAUACAUUUAUUUUGGUAAAACUUUUCUACAUGCCCUAUUUUCUACAUGUUUUUUAUAUACCAUGUUGCAGGAAUAUUAAUUUAAUAUAUUAUUAAUAUAGGAUUUUCUAGAAAGUCAGCAACUUACCCACAUUUUUACAAGAAAAAGCAAUUGAGAGGUUUCCUUAUAUCUAAACAUGUUGCAAUAUUCAGAGAAAAUGUUCUCCUUACUGUAUAAGCAUAAAGACCUGUGUUGUUCAUACAAGUCUCUAAUAUGGAGUCAAAGUAAAGUCUCUUGUAAAUCUUUUUUAAGUGUGUCUCAAGUCUGAGGGUCUGUUCCAAAACCUAGUGAGCUUCCUCCAGAUGCAUCAUUUUAAGGUGCUCCCAACACGAAGGCUGUUCGAAAAGUAUAUGGCACAACAGUGUGAAAGCUUCCUGGGUGAACUGCAUCCGGAGGGAAAAAAACAAACAUGCUGACACAUCUCUGCUGUGUGUGCUGCCAACUGGCCCUCACGAAGACGCAUUGACAGAUGCAGUUCCCUCCACUGCUUCUCUGGGCCUGAGAAUUCGGUUUACAGAAGCAUCAGGGGAAAUAAAAAAGGGGGAUGCCCAGGGGCCAGACUAGAUGAGGAUGAAUGAAGACAUUCUUGAAUGUCAGCAGCGAACCAUCGGGCCAAGCUGAGGCACGCACCAUACAGCUGGAGCGACAUGAACUGGUAGCGAUUUCUUCUGCAUUCGAUUAUCAAAGGCAGAAGACCGAUGUUUACUAACUAAAUCCAGAAACAUACUUUACACAACCACAUGAAAACAGACAAGAAUGUUUGGCCGAAAAAUUGAAAGGGUCCUUACUGCAGUGUGUAGCGUGAUGGAGUAGUGUAUUAAACCAUGACACAGCAGAUUCAUGUGAUGUACUGGAUGUUUUUAAUGUGCAAGUAAACAACACUAUAUUACAUAACAUCCCCACAACAAGUUGUUAUUUUGUUCGUUCAAAUUAUAUUAAUUUGUGUUUUUAGUAUGGUUAUUAUUAGUUUUAUUAUUUACUCGCUGCUUAAUAGCUUGCAUCAUGUGUCCGGUGCUUAUUUGAAAUACUCUAUGUAUUGUUUUAUAUUUUAUCUCUACAAUAUAUUACUUGUGUUGUGCUAUUGUGAUCCAUCAUUACAAUAUACUUGAAUAUCAUCUCAUUCAGUAAAUCACUAUUUCAUAGAAAUGCACUUUUUGUUUAUAAUCCACAUAGUUCUUAUUAGCACAGCACGUCUUACAGUAUAGAACACAGAAAAAUUAUAUGUUUGAUUUAAACAUAAAUUCUCAUUAUUAAAUGUAUGAAAACUUCAUGGACCUAAGACACAAUGAGACAGAUGUGACCUGAAACUAAUUAAAGAGAAUAAUUAUGGAUAUUUCAGACUGAUCUCACGGUGAAAUCGGAAACAGUGGGUUGACUUUUGUUUAACUAAAAUCAGUCUGUGGUUACUGAAAUAUAAAACACUGCCAACAGGAAGUGUUGUUGGGCGUAUGGGCAGGUGUGAGUACCAUUUUUCAGAUGAAGUGUCCACAGAGGGGCACCAAAAGCGAGUUGUUUUCAGCUGAACAGGCUUUAAUACAGCGAAGAGGAAUGCAUUUUUAUAAACUGUACAUCCCAAACCUAAACCUAACCAUCAGUGGAGUGAAAAUGUAAUGUUAGAGAGAAAAAGGCAACCUCCGAAUCAUGCUCGUCACUGAUUAUGCGAAUGCGAUUACUUCCUGGUUUCAACACAGGAUCCAAACCCAGAUCUCCCACGCUGUUGACGCAACACUCUUCUGGUUCCCGCCACAAGGGGAGGAAUACACACUGGAGCCGAUGUAGAUAUUUCUAAAGGGAGAUGGCGCUUAUCAGUCAGCAUAAUGUGCCUGAUCCUAGGGUACCAGAACUCUCAGAAAUCCAAUUAAAAAAAUGUUUAGUUCAGGGGUUGUGGAUCUUCUUGAAAUACCAUCAAAUGCAUAAAAAAUAAAUAAAAACAUAAAAUAGUCAUCUUGCAUACACAAACUCCUUCAUUCAAAAUACUCAGCAGUGACCUUCAAAUUCUUUAGAAGAAUACAAUCCACUCAGGUGAAAUUACUAUGAGAAAAUGCUAUAUAUUAUCACUAAAUAAUACAAUUUGUGUAAAGGAUUAUAACCCUUGCACUCUGUCGCUCUUUAUUCACACAUAAUGCUUUAUAGCUACCCACUGUCUGCACACCGAAUAAUGUUUCACAUAAUGUGCAUUAAAAAUAUCCACUAUGUCAUUAAAAUAGGGAUUAAUCCACUUCAUCAUCGUGCUACAGUCUGCAGCAAGGAGUACUUAAGGACGCAACCUCCUUAAAAAUGAUCAUUCUGUGUUCUUGCGCUAUUGUGGUGGUAACUAAGAUCAGUACUCAAGGGGGCGAUAGAGUUAACUUCAAAUGUCUGCACCAUUAACCCAAAUGUGUUAUUAUUCAGGUAGCUAAUGUUGCUAUGUCAACAGUUUAACUACUUAUUACAAGCUCAGCAAACAACUGUUACUUUUUGAGUGUGCCUGUAGUCCAAACUGUUGCUCCACCAUGACAGUAGCCCUGCGUUCCAAAUGGGCUAAAUCACCCUCUAAAGGGCACUUUGAAGGGAAAACAAUCAUGAUGGUCAAGCUGUAAGAUCACAUAUAACAGAAUUUCCA